GAUCAUGUGGCUGAAUGGUUAAGGUGACUGAUACACAAUUCUUUAAAUUAACAGUCUUGGGAAUUAGUCCAUCCUGGGUUCGAACCUUAGCUUGAUUA
rnacentral:tRNA from 1 species